rnacentral:rRNA from 1 species
GACGAACGCUGGCGGCGUGCUUAACACAUGCAAGUCGAACGGAAAGGCCUGCUUUCCCUUGUGGAUUGCGGGUACUCGAGUGGCGAACGGGUGAGUAACACGUGAGUGAUCUGCCCCCAACUUGGGUAUAAGCCUGGGAAACUGGGUCUAAUUCCCGAUAGGACUGCAGGGUGGUGCCUGUGGUGGAAAACGAUUUUCUAGUGGUUGGGGAUGAGCUCGCGGCCUAUCAGCUUGUUGGUGGGGUAAUGUCCUACCAAGGCGGCGACGGGUAGCCGGCCUGAGAGGGUGGACGGCCACAUUGGGACUGAGAUACGGCCCAGACUCCUACGGGAGGCAGCAGUGGGGAAUAUUGCACAAUGGGCGGAAGCCUGAUGCAGCGACGCCGCGUGGGGGAUGACGGCCUUCGGGUUGUAAACUCCUUUCGACCGCGAGGAAGCCACCUGGUUGGAAGGGUGGUGACGGUAGUGGCAGAAGAAGCACCGGCUAACUACGUG